UAACACGGUAACCUUUCCAGUUCACUCGCUGGCUGGUUGGUGAACGAGGACCGAUGUUGUUAUACUCUCCAUAAUAUAAAGUAUCGAGUGCAAAGUCACCAUCCCACUCCAACCAACCUGUUGGAUCAACCAAACUAUCGAGUUCUGAAGAACAACUGCAGCAUUGCCAAAUAUAAAAUCUACAGUGCCGUAAAUAUAACACUCCUUAUAGAAUUGUCUUUGUGAAUGGACAUAAAGGGUGUCUUGAUACCCUUCAAAGGCACAACGGUAGAAAACAGAAAGAUCUGCGCCAGAUCGGAGAGCAACUGCUUGAUGGUUUUCAGGACCUGCAGUGUUCCGGAAUGUGAUGCCCCGAGCUAUAAAUCCUUCACCAGUCACCGCUGAUUGUCAAAGAAUACAAACAAGUAUUUCUCAUUAAUCAUAGAAAUGGAGGAUAGGAGAAAAUUCCAAGCACCAUGCCUUGGAAUGGAAGAAACUUCAUUCUAGAUGACAAAGAUGCCAAUGUCAAAUGUGCACAUUUCGGUUGUUAUAAUGAGAAAAAUAUGCAGGUUGACACGUUCAAAUGUUAUAAAUAUAAUGGAGGCAAAUGACCUUAUAAACAGUCAACCUAGAGAGAGAGACUUACCAACAGUAGCAGAAUUGAAAGUAGUGGAGCCUCCUCCUACACUUCGAUUACCAGUAAUGAAGCCUCCUCUAGAGCGGCUCCUACCGUUGUAUGGUUACCGGAUCCGUCCUGAGCCACCACAAGGUCCACCUUUGUUGAAGAUGACUGCAGUAACCUCCUGUCACCACCUGAAAGCCAACUUGGGAAUCCCUUUUUAUAUGUUU